GUUGCUGCUAACGAAUGCUCUGACUUUAUUGCACUACUGUACUUCACAGCUAGCAGUGCAAUAGUAUUGUCAAAGCAUCUGAAAGCAGAG
ensembl:miRNA microRNA 301a